UACGAAGGGGGCUAGCGUUGUUCGGAAUUACUGGGCGUAAAGGGAGCGUAGGCGGGUUCCUAAGUUAGGUGUUUAAUCCCGGGGCCCAACCCCGGACCGGCACCUAAAACUGGGAGUCUUGAAUAGUGGAGAGGUCGGUGGAAUUGGGGGUGUAGCGGUGGAAUGCGUAGAGAUCCCCAAGAACACCAGUUGCGAAGGCGGCCGACUGGACACAUAUUGACGCUGAGGCUCGAAAGCAUGGGGAGCAAACAGG
rnacentral:rRNA from 1 species